rnacentral:rRNA from 1 species
UACGAAGGGGGCUAGCGUUGUUCGGAAUUACUGGGCGUAAAGCGUGCGCAGGCGGCUUCCCAAGUCAGUGGUGAAAGCCCGGAGCUCAACUCCGGAAUUGCCAUUGAAACUGUGGGGCUCGAGAACGAGAGAGGUGAGUGGAAUUCCCAGUGUAGAGGUGAAAUUCGUAGAUAUUGGGAAGAACACCAGUGGCGAAGGCGGCUCACUGGCUCGUAACUGACGCUCAUGCACGACAGCGUGGGGAUCAAACAGG